rnacentral:snRNA from 1 species
GGAUGCGAGGGCAAUUUGGCUGAGACAUCUGUCACCCCAUUGAUCGACAGGGUUUAUUCAGCUGAUCUGGCUGGCUAGGGCGGGUGUCCCCUUCCUCCCUCACCACUUCAUGUGCAUCCUUCCCGAAGCUGUGAGCUUGGUAGAAGAGAACGACUACCGGGAAUAGAGAUGGACCAGUCUUUGGUCCAGGGUAUACGAGUAGCUGCUCUCCCCUGGUUAGAACCUCCAAAGAAGCUCUCCGACAAAUAUAAAUAAUAAUUAUUUAUCAAAACACCCUUAGAGUAGCCCUACACUAUUAAAGUGAGACUGUAAUGUUCCCUGCACAGUUGAGUCUAAAACAGAUUGCAGGGCUGGAGCGAUAG